rnacentral:tRNA from 1 species
GCCGGUGUGGCGGAAUUGGUAGACGCGCACGACUCAAAAUCGUGUGAGCUUGCUCGUGUCGGUUCGAGUCCGACCACCGGUA